GACACAAGACUAUUAAAGUUUUCAUGAUGAAGAUACCAAAGACAAUUGCAACAAAAACAAAAACUGAUAAAUGGGACCUAAUUAAGGUAAAGAGUUUCUGCAAAGUAAAA